AUGCCCCUCCGUAGGGCAGAUUUGUGGCCACACAUCUAUCACCAGCUGGUCCAUAUAGAGGAGGAGAUAAGUUACAGGGCGUGGGGUGCUCUUCUUGGAAGACGGUUAGCGGAGCGUGGAAUUAUAGUCGCUUGCAUUGAUUAUAGAAAUUUGCCCCAAGGAACAAUAAGUGACAUGGUCAGUGAUGCUUUUGAGGCAUUUUCAUUUAUUUGUGAUACUAUUGCUAGCUAUGGAGGAGAUCCUAAUCAGUAA
rnacentral:rRNA from 1 species